AAAGCGUAUUUCUUCUCAAGAUGCCAAUUGGAGAACAGCAAGAGAGACCCCCCCCUCCCUUUUUUUUUUUUUCCCUAAGAUGAGGGGAGAAAGCAAUUAUAACUUCCUUUUUCUUUUGAAGAUGCUGAUAAAAGGAAGUGGGAGGAUCACAGAGUCCCUGUGCUAAGAGAGGAACGACUCCUAAGGUACCUCUUGGUUGUCCAAAAAUAACAGCCUCUCCUAAAGAUAUAACCGAGCGUGUUUUGGAAAGAAGGACUGUCGGGUUGACAGGAAAUGAAGGGGAGUGUUCAAGCUCCCCAGAAGCAACCGCCUUUGAGCGGAUUGGGAGCUAUUGCUCUGGGGCCGUGGGUCUGCGUACUUCCCUCUCCAUAGCAGCAGUGCAGGAGCAGUCUCCUACCCCACCACUCACAGCCUCACCUUUAGGCUGGGGUGGCAGGAUUGCAUCAGGCAGCUGAUUUACUGUAAAAUUAAUCCUCUUCCCCUACUUUUUUCUUUUCUAACAGGAUUAAGGAGGGAGUGUUUUAAAGUUUAAUCAGUUAGCUCAUUUGCUGUGCUGCGUCUCUCCUCCAAAGCAUUGUUCUGGCAGAAAUGAGGACCUUGGAGUGGGAAUGAGUGAUACCUGCUUAAGUUUGUUCUGCUGCAGAGAAGGUUAUGUGUAAUAUAACUCGGUUAUAUUCGCUUCAAGAGGAGCCGCUCAAAAUAGGGCGACGUUGUUGGCCUCCGACGGGUGGUAUGCGAACACCAGGCAGUUUCCCUUCCCUUGGGACUGCCCUGCACCAGAGGUGCUAGCAGAUCUUUCACAUCAAAUUAUGUUACUGGACAGCAGAAUGAAGCUGAACUCAUUCUUGUCUUUAGCAAUUGUCUUAAUCUAUCGGGAAGACGCUGCUAAGGGGACGGAGGGUCCCCAUGCCUAAGGCUACAGGUCCUUGCCUUGAGUCAUUUCUAAUCCUUUCCUGGCUGAGAACUGCCGCCAUCAUCUCUUGAUGCUGCAGCUGUGUGGCUGCAAGUGCUGACAGGAGGCAAACGGAGUUGACGCAUGGCCUGGCAGUGGGAGGAGGUACUGUGGCCAAGAGCCUCUUUCAGCUGAGGCAAGCAGUGACAAGUUAAUCUCAGUUACCUUCUCAGACCACAUGCUAAAUUCUCUGUUGACUCCUGAAAUUGCCGUCCCAGUGUGUGUGCACAUUUGUACAUUUUGUUUCUUCAGAUAGAAAAGGAUUGCUGAUCCUGGCUACUUGGAUCCAUUUUUCUCAGUUGCCAUUGUUAAGGUAAUUAAAUGAUUAUAUAAAACAAAACAAAAAACCCUUAAAAAUCUUUGCUUUCUGCUGCUACUUAUGCUAUAAAAUAAUCAAAA
rnacentral:lncRNA from 1 species